AAAAAGUUUGAUUUUGGCUUUUAUAUUUAUGAUAUAAAUUUUUUGCAUGUAAAUUUUUGUGUGUUAAAAAAAAAAUUUAAAUAAUUUUUUAAAAAAUUAAUUUAUUAUUUGCAGCAUUUAAUUUUAAUAAUUAAAGUAAUUUAGAAUUAUAAUUUAUUUUAUUAUAGGUAAAUAAUGUGCCAGCAACUGCGGUUAUACAUUUUUAUAAAAAUAAAUAUAUAUUUAUUAAUUAAUUUAAGUUUUAUUUUUUUAUUAUAAUUUAAAAUAAAUUAAAUUAGGUGAAAUUAUUUAAUUUAAUUAGUUAUUUUUAUAAAAUUUAUAAUUAAGAAAUCUUUAAUUAAACUAGGAUUAGAUACCCUAUUAUUUAAGAUUUAAAUUUAAUUGUAGAAGAUUAAUAGAUAAGUUCUUUAAAUUUAAAAAAAUUGGCGGUAUUUAACUCUAAUUAGGGGAAUUUGUCUUUUAAAUGAUAAUCCGCAAGAAACCUUACUUUAAUAAAAAAUUUAUUUAUUGUCGUUAUCAGAUUAUUUUAAAAGAAAAAUUAAUUUUCUAAAUUAUUUUUAUUAAUAAUUAUUUCAGAUCAUUAUGUAGUUUAUAUUAAAGUUAAGAUGAAUUACAAUAAAUUUUAUUUAGAUGGAAAUUUUAUUGAAAUAUAAAAUUGAAGGUGGACUUAAUAGUAAAAAAAAAAAUUAUAUUUAUUUGAAUUAAGAAUUAAAUAUGUACAUAUUGCCCGUCACUCUCAUUCUAAAAUGAGAUAAGUCGUAACAAAGUAGAGAUACUGGAAAGUGUUUCUAGAAAGAUUUUUU
rnacentral:ncRNA from 1 species